AGAGACAGCAGUAGCCACGGGAAUACGGAGGAUCCAAGCGUUAUCCGGAAUCAUUGGGUUUAAAGGGUCCGUAGGCGGUCUUGUAAGUCAGUGGUGAAAGCCCAUCGCUCAACGGUGGAACGGCCAUUGAUACUGCAGGACUUGAAUUAUUGGGAAGUAACUAGAAUAUGUAGUGUAGCGGUGAAAUGCUUAGAGAUUACAUGGAAUACCAAUUGCGAAGGCAGGUUACUACCAAUUGAUUGACGCUGAUGGACGAAAGCGUGGGUAGCGAACAGGAUUAGAUACCCCCGUAGUCCCUGUCUCUUAUAC
rnacentral:rRNA from 1 species